AGGGAUCAUUACCGAGUUUACAACUCCCAAACCCAAUGUGAACGUUACCAAACUGUUGCCUCGGCGGGAUCUCUGCCCCGGGUGCGUCGCAGCCCCGGACCAAGGCGCCCGCCGGAGGACCAACCAAAACUCUUUUUGUAUACCCCCUCGCGGGUUUUUUAUAAUCUGAGCCUUCUCGGCGCCUCUCGUAGGCGUUUCGAAAAUGAAUCAAAACUUUCAACAACGGAUCUCUUGGUUCUGGCAUCGAUGAAGAACGCAGCGAAAUGCGAUAAGUAAUGUGAAUUGCAGAAUUCAGUGAAUCAUCGAAUCUUUGAACGCACAUUGCGCCCGCCAGUAUUCUGGCGGGCAUGCCUGUCCGAGCGUCAUUUCAACCCUCGAACCCCUCCGGGGGGUCGGCGUUGGGGAUCGGCCCUGCCUCUUGGCGGUGGCCGUCUCCGAAAUACAGUGGCGGUCUCGCCGCAGCCUCUCCUGCGCAGUAGUUUGCACACUCGCAUCGGGAGCGCGGCGCGUCCACAGCCGUUAAACACCCAACUUCUGAAAUGUUGACCUCGGAUCAGGUAGGAAUACCCGCUGAACUUAA
rnacentral:rRNA from 5 species